rnacentral:rRNA from 1 species
AACGCGAAGAACCUUACCUGCCCUUGACAUCCUGCGAAGUGCCCUGAGAGGGGCAUGUGCCGAAAGGAACGCAGAGACAGGUGCUGCAUGGCUGUCGUCAGCUCGUGUUGUGAGAUGUUGGGUUAAGUCCCGUAACGAGCGCAACCCUUGUUCCUAGUUACCAACGCGUAGAGGCGGGGACUCUAGGGAGACUGCUGGUGAAGAACCGGAGGAAGGCGGGGACGACGUCAAGUCAUCAUGGCCUUUAUGGGCAGGGCCACACACGUGCUACAAUGGGGCGUACAGAAGGGAGCGAGCCUGAGAAGGGGAGCAAAUCCGACAAAGCGCCUCGUAGUCCGGAUUGAAGUCUGCAACUCGACUUCAUGAAGCUGGAAUCGCUAGUAAUCGCGAAUCAGAAUGUCGCGGUGAAUACGUUCCCGGGCCUUGUACACACCGUAGAGAC